rnacentral:tRNA from 1 species
GGUUCCAUGGUGUAGUGGUCAUCACGUCUGCUUUACACGCAGAAGGUCCUGGGUUCAAUCCCCAGUGGAGUCA